CUCGAGAAUGUUCUCUAAAUUCAAUUAGAGAGCGUCUCGAGUGUGGUAAGAAAAAAGCGGAGCGACCAGACUGUGUCUUUAUUCUUGUCUGAGAAAUUUCGUGACCGUUUGAGUAUGCAGCAUUUGAUGUUAAGAAUUAUUUUUGUUCUGAAAUUGUGUUCUAUCACAAACUCUCUUAAGAAUCAAAGGUAUGUUUUGCCGGUAUGGAAAUAUCAAGCAAAUAAUGGAAUAAUAAUUUGAGGAAGAGGAAGAGGUGAUUCUCAUGUUGUUUCAUGAGUAAUUUUGUGCCAUUUGAAUCAAUUACUUGGAUGAUAUGCAAAUUUGUCACGAGUAUGAUUAUUUGUAAGCAUUCAUGUUAUGGGAGCUCUAAGCUCUUGGGGACUAGUUGGUUUUUAUUUCAUAUCAUGUUUCUAAGUUUUCUCUGCUUUUGGGGUUUGAGUCUUAUGGAGGAAAUAGUGUAACAAUAUUUUACUUCUUUUACUGUCUUAUUCCCUUUUAGCUCACAAAAUUAUGAUAUAGAAAACACUGAAAGUGAAAU